GACGUAGGGCGCGAGCGUUGUCCGGAUUUAUUGGGCGUAAAGAGCUCGUAGGCGGUUUGUCGCGUCGGCCGUGAAAACUUGGGGCUUAACCCCAAGCCUGCGGUCGAUACGGGCAGACUUGAGUUCGGCAGGGGAGACUGGAAUUCCUGGUGUAGCGGUGAAAUGCGCAGAUAUCAGGAGGAACACCGGUGGCGAAGGCGGGUCUCUGGGCCGAUACUGACGCUGAGGAGCGAAAGCGUGGGGAGCGAACAGG
rnacentral:rRNA from 1 species